rnacentral:rRNA from 1 species
UACGAAGGGGGCUAGCGUUGCUCGGAAUCACUGGGCGUAAAGCGCACGUAGGCGGAUUGUUAAGUCAGGGGUGAAAUCCUGGAGCUCAACUCCAGAACUGCCUUUGAUACUGGCGAUCUUGAGUCCGGGAGAGGUGAGUGGAACUGCGAGUGUAGAGGUGAAAUUCGUAGAUAUCGGAAGGAACGCCGGUGGCGAAAGCGGCGCGCUGGACCUCUUCUGACGCUGAGGCGCGAAAGCUAGGGGAGCAAACGGG